rnacentral:tRNA from 1 species
GCUCAGUGGGUUAAGCGGCCAACUCUUGAUUUCGCCUCAGGUCACGAUCUCACGGUUCGUGGGUUCGAGCCCCACAUUGGGCU